rnacentral:rRNA from 1 species
AGGUGCGAUCAUACCAGCACUAAUGUAUCGAAUCCCAUCAGAACUUCACAGUUAAGUGUGCUUGCACGAGAGUAGUACUAGGAUGGAUGACCUACUGGGAAGUCCUGGUGUUGCACCUC